AGAGUUUGAUCAUGGCUCAGAUUGAACGCUGGCGGCAUGCUUUACACAUGCAAGUCGAACGGCAGCACAGGGAGCUUGCUCCCGGGUGGCGAGUGGCGCACGGGUGAGUAAUACAUCGGAACGUGUCCUGGUUGUGGGGGGAUAACUGCUCGAAAGGGUGGCUAAUACCGCAUGAGACCUGAGGGUGAAAGCGGGGGAUCGCAAGACCUCGCGCAAUUGGAGCGGCCGAUGCCCGAUUAGCUAGUUGGUGAGGUAAAGGCUCACCAAGGCGACGAUCGGUAGCUGGUCUGAGAGGACGACCAGCCACACUGGGACUGAGACACGGCCCAGACGCCUACGGGAGGCAGCA
rnacentral:rRNA from 1 species